GGGGCUUAAAUAAGCGACAGGGUCUGGCGUAGUUAUGGUGGCAGAUAUCCCUAGGUCAACCAGUGCCCGCCACGUGUCCCACUCACCGCGGCAUAGGGCUGACCGUUGGCGGGACCAUUAUGGUAUGGCGCUUGGGACUAUGCCCCGGUGGAAAUUUCGAAAGGACCCUUCAGAUCGCUCCUGUUGGAAAAAGGCUCUGGCACACGCGCAUUAAAUACUAAAAUAUCUGAG
rnacentral:lncRNA from 1 species